UACGGAGGGUGCGAGCGUUGUCCGGAAUCAUUGGGCGUAAAGGGCGCGUAGGUGGCCCGGUCAGUCCGUGGUGAAAGCGCGGGGCUCAACCCCGCGUCGGCCAUGGAUACUGCUGGGCUGGAGCACUGUAGAGGCAGGCGGAAUUCCGGGUGUAGCGGUGGAAUGCGUAGAGAUCCGGAAGAACACCGGUGGCGAAGGCGGCCUGCUGGGCAGUUGCUGACACUGAGGCGCGACAGCGUGGGGAGCAAAC
rnacentral:rRNA from 1 species